rnacentral:rRNA from 1 species
UACGAAGGUGGCAAGCGUUACUCGGAAUUACUAGGCGUAAAGGGCAGGUAGGUGGUUUGAUAAGUCUGUUGUGAAAGCUCCCGGCUCAACUGGGAGAGGCCAACGGAUACUAUCAGGCUUGAGUAUAGGAGAGGUUACUGGAAUUCCCGGUGUAGCGGUGAAAUGCGCAGAGAUCGGGAGGAACACCAAUGGCGAAAGCAGGUAACUGGACUAUUACUGACACUCAACUGCGAAAGCUAGGGGAGCAAACAGG